rnacentral:rRNA from 1 species
CUGUUGCCUCGGCGAGUUGCGCUACCCUAUAGCUACCCUGUAGCUACCCGGGAACACGCUCCAAGCUUGCCAGAGGACCUACCAACUCUGUUUUAUACUGUAUCUCUGAAUCUCAUAACUAAAUACGUUAAAACUUUCAACAACGGAUCUCUUGGUUCUGGCAUCGAUGAAGAACGCAGCGAAAUGCGAUAAGUAAUGUGAAUUGCAGAAUUCAGUGAAUCAUCGAAUCUUUGAACGCACAUUGCGCCCAUUAGUAUUCUAGUGGGCAUGCCUAUUCGAGCGUCAUUUCAACCCUUAAGCCUUAGUUGCUUAGCGUUGGGAAUCUACGACUUAUAGCGUAGUUCCCUAAAAGUAGUGGCGGAGUUAUAGCACACUCUAAGCGUAGUAAUUCUCUCUCGCUUCUUGUAGUGGUUGUAGCUGCUAGCCGUAAAACCCCCCAUACUUAUAGUGGUUGCCCUCGGAUUAGGUAGGAAUACCCGCUGAACUUAAGCAUAUCAAUAAGCGGAGGAAAAGAAACCAACAGGGAUUGCCCUAGUAACGGCGAGUGAAGCGGCAACAGCUCAAAUUUGAAAUCUGGCCUUCGGGUCCGAAUUGUAAUUUGUAGAGGAUGCUUUGGGUGCGGUACCUUCCGAGUUCCCUGGAACGGGACGCCGGAGAGGGUGAGAGCCCCGUACGGUUGGAUACCAAGCCUAUGUAUAGCUCCUUCGACGAGUCGAGUAGUUUGGGAAUGCUGCUCUAAAUGGGAGGUAAAUUUCUUCUAAAGCUAAAUACCGGCCAGAGACCGAUAGCGCACAAGUAGAGUGAUCGAAAGAUGAAAAGCACUUUGAAAAGAGGGUUAAAUAGCACGUGAAAUUGUUGAAAGGGAAGCGUUUGCGACCAGACCUUUUCCAGGCGGAUCAUCCGGUGUUCUCACCGGUGCACUUCGCCUGGUUUAGGCCAGCAUCGGUUUUCUUAGGGGGACAAAGGUUUAGGGCACGUAGCUCCUUCGGGAGUGUUAUAGCCCUCUACGUAAUACCCUUCGGGGGACCGAGGACCGCGCAUGC